GUGCUUUCUGGUCCACAAACCGAAUCCUGACAUAAACCUGGAAGCCUUGAAGACACAAGGGCCAAAUGUCUGGGAGAUAUCUAGUCCCUAAGGCACCCAGGCUGAAAAAUGAGUGCUGAGGGACGGCUUCGCCUGGACCGAUUGUCUCUCCAAUCCUUGGAUUCCCAGGCUCACUUGAAGCAUAAAUAAGUCACGCCAUUUCCAGUGAAAACGUUGCGUGGAGAAAACGGAGGAGAGGAGAAGGGGAAGCUGAGGCCAGACUCUGGACGUCUACGCGGGGAACAGAGAGCGCCGUUGUAGACGGCAGACACAGAUGUUAUCUGGAAGGAAUAUUACAAGACGACCCGCUGCUGUGGGGGAGGCUGUGUUUACCUUCUCUCUGCUCAGACUGGGCUAAAGCUGUGUGUGGGCCUGACCCCCGCCGAGACUGAUGGUGGAACCACCGUCGGCCGGGCGAGCAACUCGGAUCUCACCUCGCGCUGUACGGACAGGUUACGCACCAUUAUCCGGGUGACUUGCAGACCAGAAUUCCUUGUGUGUGAAGGCGUCCAAUGCCUCCUGUUUGGCUGGUGCUGCUUUUCCUCAUAUUUUUAACCAGAACAAAUGCAUGGUCGAUGACGCAUUGGACCUGCUAGUGAUAGAAAUCUGGUUUUAGUCUCUUGGGGACGUCACUCCUUUGAAGUCCUUCAUAGCUGAUACUAAACCCUCUUUCAUUUUUUCUGAAAAAGCAUUUC